rnacentral:lncRNA from 1 species
GUGUUAAGGCAGUGGCCAAUGCUUUAAAGCUCUCAUUUAAUGGAGUGAACCAAUUUGUCUACAUCCAAACUUGUGAUUAUAUGCUGUUUAGUGCAGCUGAAUUAUUUAAACAAGGUAAGCUUUCUCAUCAUAUUCGAUCAACUCAAGUAUACUGCCAUACAUAUGAAUUGAUGGUUCUACGCAUCUUUGAGAUCUGCUAU